rnacentral:rRNA from 1 species
AAGCGUUAUCCGGAAUUAUUGGGCGUAAAGCGUCCGCAGGCGGCCCUUCAAGUCUGCUGUUAAAAAGUGGAGCUUAACUCCAUCAUGGGCAGUGGAAACUGUUGGGCUUGAGUGUGGUAGGGGCAGAGGGAAUUCCCGGUGUAGCGGUGAAAUGCGUAGAUAUCGGGAAGAACACCAGUGGCGAAGGCGCUCUGCUGGGCCAUCACUGACGCUCAUGGACGAAAGCCAGGGGAGCGAAAGGGAUUAGAUACCCCUGUAGUCCUGGCCGUAAACGAUGAACACUAGGUGUCGGGGGAAUCGACCCCCUCGGUGUCGUAGCCAACGCGUUAAGUGUUCCGCCUGGGGAGUACGCACGCAAGUGUGAAACUCAAAGGAAUUGACGGGGGCCCGCACAAGCGGUGGAGUAUGUGGUUUAAUUCGAAGCAACGCGCAGAACCUUACCAACCCUUGACAUCCUCGGACCGCCAGAGAGAUUUGGCUUUCACUUCGGUGACCGAGUGACAGGUGCUGCAUGGCU